CAGGCCAUCCACCCUGGAGGGGAGGGGAUUCCACAGGGAUGUGUGACCAGGAUUCAGGGGUAUUAGGGGCCACUGUGGGGACUGCCCAGCACACGGGCACAGACGAGGCCCUGGGACCCGAGCCUAACCCUAAUGGGAGCCUCUAGAAGUCUGUGUUGGGAGAGGACAAGGUCAGAAUCAGUUCAUUACUACCUUCCCACGGGGGCUGGGACACAAGCGGGGGGGGGGGGUGGCUUUGCCUGGACCCCAGAGCAGGCCCAAGCCCCUCUGAGCUGUGUUCCAUGCCAAGCCCAGCUCCUGGCUCAUCCUUGCUUUGCGAAGUAUGCACCAGCCUCCUGUGAUAGCAGACAGCCCUCUGCCCGGCUCAUUUCGUUGGAGAUCCUCAAACCAAGAUGUUCGCAUGUUGCCUUCCGAGGUCUGGAGGCUGCAGGCUGAAGAUAGUGCGCCCUGUAGACGCUGUCCCCCGCUGGGGAUUUCAUGUCAGGGCUCCCCACCGCCGCUGGCCAUUUGGCCGGAAGGACAGAAAGGUGACACCAGGAGGCCCAGAGCCGGCCACCCAGCCCCACUUAGUCUGAUGACCUGUGUAGCACCAGGUGCCCUCCCUUGUGUGUGUGUGUGUGUGUGUGUGUGUGUGUGUGUGUGCGCGCGCACGUGUGGAUGGGGUGUGUGUGUGUGUGUCUGCCUGUGUGUGCAUGUGUCUGUGUGUGGGUGCACGUGUGUGGAUGGGUGUGUGUGCGCGCGUGUAUGUGUGUGUAAAGAGGGGUCAUGCAGGGUGGGGCCACCCUAGGCAGGAGUAUGCUGAUGAGGGGUCAGAUACCCAGUGGGCAGGUCAUGUUCAAGGUCAAGGCUGGCUGCGUGGGAUGGGGUGUGCGGGCGCUGCCCCUUCUGCCCGAGGUUUAUCCCGAUAGCCCUGCAGGGAUGGGUUACUGCAUCCCGGGUGCAGGGCUGUGCACGCACAGGUCUGUGUCUGAUCUGGGAGCAGCAGGGGGACUGGGCAGGAGGACAGUGCAGAUGGCCGGGCAGGGCUGUGACGCCUCGGGGCCGGCUACCGGUCCCUGUCUUUGCAGAAGGCCACGGAGGACAUGGAGAGGCAGCUGGCAGACAUGCCCUCCUCCCUGACAGAGGGGUUGACCCCACAGGCAUCCCGAGAAACAGGUGCUGGGGAUUGCCGGGCAAGACCUCUGACACCACGCGGACCACUGUCCGGUGGUCCAGGAGCCGGAGCCCACGGAGGCCGAGGCCGAGGGUGAGAAGGCUGGGGCUGGGUGUUUGUGGUGUGUGGGGACAGGUCGCUGCUGGCCCCACAGGGAGGAGCCCCCAGAGCCUGGUGUGGGGCCAGGAGCAACGACUGGGCACAGAGCACACAGCGGGUGGACUGCAGUUGGGGAGACGUCCCCAUGAGGGUUCUUUCCCGGCUGUGGCUUCUCUGGGAGGCCCUGGGCUGGGCUCUGUCUCUGCAAAGGCCCACAGAGAGCAGGAAUGUGGGUGAGCUUUUCUCCUCUCACAGUUGCUCCACCACCUGAGGAGCUAGAGCCAGAUCUGGUGGGAGGGCUGGUGACUGCAGUGACUUCAGGAGGAGACCAGGAGCCGGCAGGUGACCCGGCACCUGCCCACGGAGAGCCUGGCGCUGUCCAGGAAGAACUGGCACCUGCUCCUGCGCCAGCCCCUGCCCUGCUACAGUUCCUGCCACUCCCCCUUCCCCCACCCCACCCCAGCCCCUGCCUUGGACCCAGAUCCUGACGCGGCUCUUGCCCCUUCCCUUACCCGUGCCUCUGCCUUUGCCCCAGCCCCUGCCCCUGCCUGUGCUCUUGUUCCUGCCCCUGCCCCUGCCCCUGUUCCUGCUCCUGUCCCUGCCAGAGCCACUGCCCCUGACCCAGAUCCUACCCUUGCUCCUGCCCCUGUCCAUACUCCUUCCAGAGCCACUGCCCCUUCCCCUGCCCCUGCCAGGGGUCCCGUUCCUGCCCCUGACCCAGAUCCUGUCCCUGCUCCUGCCCUAGAUCCUGCACCUGCCACUGCUGCUGACCCUGUCCCUCCCCUUGCCCCUGCCCCUGCUCUUACCUCUGUCCCUGCCCCUGUCCCUGCCCCUAUCCUGAGCCCUUCCCCUACUCCUGCUCCUGCAGGGCUCCCAGUCCUGUCCCUGCUCCUGCCCUAGAUCCUGCACCUGCCACUGCUGCUGACCCUGUCCCUCCCCUUGCCCCUGCCCCUGCCCUUACCUCUGUCCCUGCCCCUAUCCUGAGCCCUGCCCCUACUCCUGCUCCUGCAGGGCUCCCAAAGCCACAUCCGGAGCCCACAGCCCUGCAAGGAGAGCUCCUUGUACAAUUACCCUUAGUUCCAUCGCCGGAACCCGAGACCCCGCCCGAUUGUUUCAUCCCCUCCCCCUGUGUUCUUUCUCUCUGGUACAUAUUAACUGUUAUUUCAUCCUUCCAUGUCCUAUAUACUGUUUAUUAUUUGUUUUAAAUAAAAUUACUUGU
rnacentral:lncRNA from 1 species